rnacentral:misc_RNA from 1 species
ACAAGGUCUCCGUAGGUGAACCUGCGGAGGGAUCAUUACAAGAACGCCCGGGCUUCGGCCUGGUUAUUCAUAACCCUUUGUUGUCCGACUCUGUUGCCUCCGGGGCGACCCUGCCUUCGGGCGGGGGCUCCGGGUGGACACUUCAAACUCUUGCGUAACUUUGCAGUCUGAGUAAACUUAAUUAAUAAAUUAAAACUUUUAACAACGGAUCUCUUGGUUCUCGCAUCGAUGAAGAACGCAGCGA